rnacentral:rRNA from 1 species
UACGUAGGUGGCAAGCAUUGUCCGGAAUUAUUGGGCGUAAAGCGCGCGCAGGCGGCUUCUUAAGUCCAUCUUAAAAGUGCGGGGCUUAACCCCGUGAUGGGAUGGAAACUGGGAGGCUGGAGUAUCGGAGAGGAAAGUGGAAUUCCUAGUGUAGCGGUGAAAUGCGUAGAGAUUAGGAAGAACACCGGUGGCGAAGGCGACUUUCUGGACGACAACUGACGCUGAGGCGCGAAAGCGUGGGGAGCAAACAGG